GGGAUAAGGAUAUUAAAGUGCUAGUAUCCAUUAAAAUACUGCGUGGGAAAAGGGAAAUGCAUAUGAGAUGGCAAUUAAAGUGAUAGAUUACCCUGUAUCAUUCAAUUUUUACAGAGGCGAAGAAAAAUGUUGUGGGAUUGGAAUACUGAAUGCUCAAUCAUUUUGUAGUCCAGCUGAAAACUUCUGCUCGAAUCACAAUGAGUACUUUUUCUGAGAUUUAGUCCAUCCUAUACAGGUUACUUCUAAGUUGGCAGCUGUUACCCUCUACAGUGAUGAAACAAGAUUUUUGGCUCCUAUCAACUUUUCUUGGUCGACCACUGCUAAGCAAGCAAUACAAUUAAUUACAUAUUUAUUCUUGAUAUCUAUUACUUUAUCCCAACAAGGAGAUCUUCUGCAUCUCUUCCUUGUGGCAUUUACUCAAUGAAGGAUCAAUUAGGUGAUCAAAUAUAUCACAGUGAAGUAGCCUUUGCCUGCAAAGUUAGUCAGAUUACAGAUUUUUGAAGCUCUAGAAAUUUCAUAUCAGGAAAAGUCCAAUGUCCGGUUAUCUAUUCUAUUACCCAAAAGUACUAAGCUUUUGUGAAUUGACUUGCUUGACAGAAUUUGCUAGCUAGCUGCAAUGAGUUCCAGAAGCACCAACAUCAAACGAGUACAUUUCUAUCUUCUCAUCAACGUCAAGAUACUCAUGUAUUCUGGAGCCAGGUACCCAAAGUUUACAACGACCUUGAUUAGCUUUGUGAUUGAAACUUGCUAGACUGGUGAAGUACAACUGCAACUCCAAAAUCGGACAGCUAAGAAAGUGAUCAAAUAGACAAUUUUUCUAAGCAUGUAAGCUUGUGUAAAACUAGAAUCAUAUAUAUAUAUAUUAUAGCAUUUGGUCAGCCAUGAUAGAUUGCUCAAAUUAAUAUGGGUUCCAUUUGGUUCAAUUCUCAUUCAAUUUCGUGCCAAGAGAAAACCAAAAGACAAAUUAAAUCCCAUUAGUUCAGCAGAGAUUAACAGAUAGAGCUUACUUCUGGUCUGCAAAUGUCAGAGAGGAGAAUGUUGGAUCAAUUCAUUUCUCUAUGAAUUAUUGGAGGGUCACAACCCUGAUGAAGAAAAUCUAAUGCCUUGGCCAUUACUUGACUUGGGCCAAAUUUUGCUUCAAGUUUCCUUUAGCAGAUUAGACACAAUUGCAUACAUAUCCUUUCUGUCACAAUAUCCAAUCAUCUGAGCUAAAUUAUCAUGCUUUGUAGGGACAAUUUCUUUACUUCUCGGAGAAACUCCCUUGUUAAUGAUUCUUGAGCUUUGAGCACUUUGACAGCAGCAGCUCGACCAUCCUCAGGCUUGGCUGGAAACCACUUGCUAUGUCCCUCUUCUCCAAUCACCAUUUGAGGACUAAAAUUGUUAGUGUCAGAACUCAACUCUCUUGUCAAGAAAUGCCUGCCAGACCUCUCUGCCACUGCUAGUGCUAGCGUUUGAAACAAGUUUUCAGGAAAGGAAUUUGGAACCUGCUGUGCUUUCUUGGGUCUGCUGUAUUCUGAGUUUAUAGCAUGUUGUGUUGAUAAUGAUGAUGAUGAGAAAGAAGGCUCAGUCAAUGAUUUGCUCAGCUGAUGGGUAAUUACAGAUUGAUUUAAACACUUGAUUUUGGCAGAUAACUGCAGAUUGAAGGGCUAAUAGACCUGUGGAGCCUUGGGGAAAAGUAUCUUGAACCCGGAUUGCAACUCUUCCAGCACCGUUUAUAUCUACAAAUGUGCAAGUAGGAGGCAACCCAUUAAGGAAGCUUAUCAGAACUGAAUAUUUAAGCCUGCAAGAGUGUUAACCAUACAACAAGAGGGAAAUGAGAAGCAGAGACAGAAAGAAGAGUUUCAGUUUAUCAUGUUCAUUAUUCUGAAAUGCUGCAGCCAAGAGCAAGCAUUGCUGCAUGGCCGAGUCUUACUUGAUUGGACAAUUUAUCAAUAUAAGAGUCUCCUGUACAGACUUUUACAAGGAUGUCAAUCUUUCUGGAGCUGCAGAUGUCUUCGUGAAUAUUGAAACUGUUGAAAUAGAAGGACUCGUCCUUUUGAUCUUGAGCAUGAGCUGCAAUCACACUAUUGUUUUGCUUUAGAUUUAGUUUUUUUCUUUCCUUCCAUGUUAGGGUGGCUUUGGGUUUGAGUUUAUAUUUAGUUCAUUGGAAAUUUCAUAUCAACUUUUCAAAUUACUCGAAUAUUUAGGCCAUAAGUGGCAGAAAACAGUAUCUGAGUUUUCAUUUUUUAAAUGUGUUCAUUCUUUGUGCGCA